rnacentral:lncRNA from 1 species
UCAAGUCAUUUUUCCAGAUGGUCCUAUAUUGGAUACGAAUGGCGUGUACCAAUUGUUUUGGUAGAAUUGGUUUACCAUUUUUGAAGUUUAGGGCAAGUAUGCCACAGGGUGCAUUUCUCAGUGCUGCCUUCCAAGAGGUUUGGGAUAACUUCUUAGUGAGAUAUAAGGGGUUGCAUGUCUCAUUGAGGCACGUGUUUCCAAAUGAUGCCAGAUUGAGCCAUUACUAGGUGGACUGCCCUUUAUGGAAUGAUGAACAUAAAACCAUGAUUGCAUUGGGGGCAAAUAUGCAAUAAUGAAAGAGACUCAUCCCAUAUUAUUUCAAAUCGUUGUUCCAUGCCAUACUAGUGUGUCUCUAAAUCUACAUGCUCCACUUCUUAAGUUGUCUAUUUGUCAUAAUGGCAUGUUAGCCAAACAUUCAUUUACAUGUGCACAUUUGCAUGAUAUUCUAAACACACGUAUAUAGUUUGUACACCUGUG